CGCACGAGCGCACCCUUGUCCUUAGUUGCCAGCGAGUAAUGGUGGGAACUCUAAGGAGACUGCCGGUGACAAACCGGAGGAAGGUGGGGAUGACCUCAAGUCAUCAUGGCCCUUACGGCCAGGGCUACACACGUACUACAAUGGUCGGUACAGAGGGUUGCAAGACCGCGAGGUGGAGCCAAUCCCAGAAAGCCGAUCUCAUUCCGGAUCGGAGUCUGCAACUCGACUCCGUGAAGUCGGAAUCGCUAGUAAUCGCGAAUCAACAUUGUCGCGGUGAAUA
rnacentral:rRNA from 1 species